CCUACGGGUGGCUGCAGUGGGGAAUAUUGGACAAUGGGGGGAACCCUGAUCCAGCCAUGCCGCGUGUGUGAAGAAGGCCCUCGGGUUGUAAAGCACUUUCAGUGAGGAAGAACGCCUGGUGGUUAAUACCCAUCAGGAAAGACAUCACUCACAGAAGAAGCACCGGCUAACUCCGUGCCAGCAGCCGCGGUAAUACGGAGGGUGCGAGCGUUAAUCGGAAUUACUGGGCGUAAAGCGCGCGUAGGUGGCUUGAUAAGCCGGUUGUGAAAGCCCCGGGCUCAACCUGGGAACGGCAUCCGGAACUGUCAAGCUAGAGUGCAGGAGAGGAAGGUAGAAAUCCCGGUGUAGCGGUGAAAUGCGUAGAGAUCGGGAGGAAUACCAGUGGCGAAGGCGGCCUUCUGGACUGACACUGACACUGAGGUGCGAAAGCGUGGGUAGCAAACAGGAUUAGAUACCCUAGUAGUC
rnacentral:rRNA from 1 species